rnacentral:lncRNA from 1 species
CCGCACGUAAACCCCGGAAGAAGAGAAGAAGAUUCACUCGCUUCAGAAUAAAGGAAUGCCGUACAUCCCCUCCCUCUCUCUCUCUCUCUGUAUUUCUCUCGCUUUGAAGCUUCUCCGUCCAACCCACCUUCCUGCAACAUUCCCCCAUCUCUCUCGGUCGAAUGAUCUUCGCGUCGUGGCGUCUCGUUCUCUGGUGAGUCUGUCUCUAUCCCCUCCGCCGUGUGCGGAGGUUUAACGUACUGUCGACAGGUGUUAGAGGAAGCCUCCAUUCGUGGGUUGUCUUUCGAGAGAAUUUUCGGGGACAUGGAACGUGCGAUGGAUUCGGAUGGAUUCGAAUUUUGUACCCAUCUCCGUUGCGCAUCUACGCGCCUCUGACCAGGGAAGGAAUUGAAAAAUUUCGACGUUGUCUUUGUUUGAUCGUGUUGGUGAUUUCUUGGGAAUUUUUUUGGUGUUGGGUUUGAAAUGAAUGUAAGGCUGGGUAGAAUUGGGAGUUCUAUGUUGGGUUUGAAGUGAAUUUAAGACCCGGGUCGGCUCGAAUUAUGCCCACUUCUUCUGUGUAUUUCUUCACCGGAAUUCUUGCCCACCGAUCCCAUAUCGGGUUCGAAACUGUAUUUGAGCAUUCUAAUAGGAAGGCGGAGGUGUUAGGUUCUCCUACGGCUCCUAACAUUUCGAGCAAAUGAUUUCCUAGUGGGUUAAAGUCAGCAGUAAUUUUUCCUUCUGCUCCAAAUGACUAUAAGCAUUCAGCUUUGUCUUAUGGUAAUGUCUAAUGCGGUUAGUCGUUCCUAUAUCUUCAGCUGAGCAGUUUUCGACAGUUGUUAUACGGGGAAGAGUCCUAAAAUGUCAGUUGAAAAUUUCUUUAGUAUUUCCUCGAAGUAUAUGCCAGUAUAAUUUUAGGAUUUUUUGUGGCUUAUGCUUUGUACUUGGGGUUUAGUUUUGCCAUUUCAUACGUAUGAUUCGGAGAGAGACUUGAGUCCUGCCACUGUUUGUAGUCUUAUUCCAAUGUAAGAAUUGAAAUUAGAACAAACUGCAAAUACAAUCUCCCAUAACGUAAUAUAGAUGAAGGGACUUCAU